UGGAUUAGGAGAAAGCCCGCCUGAUAAAGUGAAGGAAAGGCCUUUAGGCCUCUGGCAGCACAGAAUGCUUCUCCUCUGCCCAGCUUCCUGCAGACAGGCUGCUGGCUAGGGUCUGAGUGUGUGUGCUGCUGGAACUGGUUUCAGCUUGGGGGGCUCCCAGGACCACCCAGACUUGGGAAUGUGUGGCAGUGGCUUCUGCCAUCAGGCCAGCUGGCUCUUCGUGACUCAGCCAGUUUUAAUGGACUUGGAAGAAAUAUUCCAUGCCAGAGACACUCGGGACCUCCUAGCAACCAGGCAUCCAAUGUGCAAAGCAAUCUGGCCCAACUCUCUUUCCCCUCAUCUCCUGUGAGAGACCUCUGUCCGAUGGCAACCAGGUGUCUGUGGGCUGCUUGGCACGGGACUUCCUGCCCAGCAAAAUAUCCUUCUCCUGGACCUAUAAGAACAACUCUGCCGUGAACCAGGUCAUCAGAACCUUCCCAGAUGUACUCAUAGGGGGCAAGUAUGCAGCCACCUCCCAGCUGCUCCUGGGCUCCAAAGACAUCGCCCAGAGCACUGACAUCCAGCUGAUGUGCAAGGCUCAACAUAUGACAGGCACUGUGCAGACAGAGGUGAUCACUAAAGGGAUCGUGGAGCUGGCCCCUAAUGUGACUGUAUUUGUCCCACCCCGAGACACCUUCCUCGACUCUCGAAAGUCCAAACUCAUCUGCCAGGCCACAGACUUCAGUCCCAAGCAGGUCACAGUGUCCUGGCUGCGGGAAGGAAAGAUUAUAGAGCGUGGCAUCAUCACAGAUGAGGUAGUGGCUGACAAAAAAGACUCCCAGCCCGUGACUUUCAAGGUUACCAGCACACUGACCAUCACUGAGGAUGACUGGCUGGGCCAGAAGGUGUUCACCUGCCGUGUGACUCACAAGACAGGCACCUUUGACAAGAAUGUAUCCUCCUCUCUGUGUAUCCCUUCAACUCCAUCCACAGACAUCAAAGUCUUCCUCAUUCCUCCCUCUUUCAAUGACAUCUUCCACACCAAGUCAGUCAAGCUGACCUGCCUGGUCAAUGACCUGAUCCACCAAGGAGGACUGAACAUCUCCUGGUCCAACCAGGAUGGCAGGGAACUGCCCACCAAAAUCAGAGAUGCUGAGAGCCAAGCCAACAGCACUCUCAGUGUCACGGGUGAGGCCAGCAUCUGUGAGGAUGAAUGGGAUUCUGGGAAUGAGUUCACGUGCACCGUGGUCCAUCAUGAUCUGCCCUUCCCAUUGAAGAAGACCAUUUCUAAGCCCAAAGCUGGGAAUAAGAAGCCUCCCGCUGUGUAUGUACUGCCACCAGCCCGGGAGCAGCUGGUCCUGCAUGAGCAGGCCACCAUCAUCUGCCUGGUAAAGGGUUUUGCCCCUGCGGACAUUUUUGUGCAGUGGCUGAAGGGUGGACAGCCCUUGUCAUCAGACAAGUAUGUGACCAGUGCUCCGAUGCCAGAGCCCCACACUCCAGGCUACUACUAUGCCCACAGCCUGUUGACCGUGCCUGCAGAGGACUGGAUCUCGGGGGAGACCUUCACCUGUGUCGUGGGCCAUGAGGGCCUGCCGCACAUGGUGACUGAGAGAACCGUGGACAAAUCCACUGAGGGGGAGGUGAAUGCUGAGGAAGAGGGCUUCGAGAACCUUUGGACCACCGCCUCCACCUUCAUCGUGCUCUUCCUUCUCAGCCUCUUCUACAGCACCACUGUCACUUUAUUCAAGGUAAAGUGACCCAGCUGUGGGAGGACACUGAAGACCAAGAACUCAACCACAGUGCCUGGCCUGGGGUGGGCUGUGCUGCAUGGCCCUCAACUUGAACCUCUUCGCACAUCCCUCCAGCUCUGCGCUCUAGGACACAGGCAUCUCUCCAUGCCAGCCAAUGUCGCCACCAUGUUCACAGCACUUGGGUCCCCAAGCUCGGCUUUGCUGUUUGUGUGCAUGUUGUCCUGAAAUAAACACAGAUGUGCUCUU